AGAGUUUGAUCCUGGCUCAGGAUGAACGCUGGCGGUAUGCGUAACACAUGCAAGUCGAACGAAGUUUUUCGGAACUUAGUGGCGGACGGGUGAGUAACGCGUGAGAAUCUGCCUUAAGGAUUGGGACAACAGUGGGAAACCGCUGCUAAUACCAAAUAUGCCUUUUAGUGAAACGGGUAAAACCGCCUUAAGAUGAGCUCGCGUCUGAUUAGCUAGUUGGUGUGGUAAGAGCGCACCAAGGCAACGAUCAGUAGCUGGUCUGAGAGGACGACCAGCCACACUGGGACUGAGACACGGCCCAGGCUCCUACGGGAGGCAGCAGUGAGGAAUUUUCCGCAAUGGGCGAAAGCCUGACGGAGCAAUACCGCGUGAGGGAGGAAGGUUCUUGGAUUGUAAACCUCUUUUCUCAGAGAAGAAUAAUGACGGUAUCUGAGGAAUAAGCAUCGGCUAACUCCGUGCCAGCAGCCGCGGUAAUACGGAGGAUGCAAGCGUUAUCCGGAAUGAUUGGGCGUAAAGGGUCUGUAGGUGGUUGUUCAAGUCUGCUGUUAAAGCGUCUGGCUUAACCAGAUAAAGGCGGUGGAAACUGAACGACUAGAGUGCGGUAGGGGUAGAGGGAAUUCCCAGUGUAGCGGUGAAAUGCGUAGAUAUUGGGAAGAACACCUGUGGCGAAAGCGCUCUACUGGACCGCGACUGACACUCAGGGACGAAAGCUAGGGGAGCGAAUGGGAUUAGAUACCCCUGUAGUCC
rnacentral:rRNA from 1 species